UGAAAUGCGAUACGUAAUGUGAAUCGCAAAGGCCUGUGAACCAUCUAAUUUUUGAACGCACUUUGCACUCGCCCCGGCGAGUAUGCCUGUUUGAGCAUCGGAACAUCGCUAUGGCACUGAGUCUCUUUGACACGGGCCAUUCUUGAGGCGUCAGCAUGCUGUGCCUUUAAACGCAGCAAGCCUCUCUGGGCGGCCCGUGUGAUACACUAAUUUCAUCGGCCCCCGGGACAGGCUUCAAUCCCAACCAGAUCUCAAAUCAGGCAAGGCUACCCACUGAACUUAA
rnacentral:misc_RNA from 1 species